rnacentral:rRNA from 1 species
GACGAACCGAGCGAACGUUGUUCGGAAUCACUGGGCUUAAAGGGCGCGUAGGCGGGCUGCCGCGUCCGGGGUGAAAUCCUCCGGCUCAACCGGGGAAGGGCCUCGGGUACGGGCGGCCUCGAGGGGGGUAGGGGCGUGCGGAACUGUGGGUGGAGCGGUGAAAUGCGUUGAGAUCCACAGGAACUCCGGUGGCGAAGGCGGCACGCUGGGCCCUUUCUGACGCUGAGGCGCGAAAGCUAGGGGAGCGAACGGG